rnacentral:lncRNA from 1 species
GAUGAAUUUUUUUGAGAAAUGAAAGAAAUUGUUGAAUUUGUUAGGAUGAAAAUUAAAGAUAAAGAUGAGAAAAAUUGCACAAUUCAAAAUUAUUAAAUAUUUAUUAUUAAAUAUAUGAAGAAGUUUAGAUAAUAAUGGCAAAAAAUCACACCUUAAAAAACGCCGUUGAUGAAGGAGGAAAUCACUACUUCAGUUUGGCAAAAACGGG